UACGUGGGGGGCAAGCGUUGUCCGGAAUCAUUGGGCGUAAAGAGCGUGUAGGCGGCCAGAUAAGUCCGCUGUGAAAACUCGAGGCUCAACCUCGAGAUGUCGAUGGAAACCGUCUGGCUAGAGUCCGGAAGAGGAGUGUGGAAUUCCUGGUGUAGCGGUGAAAUGCGCAGAUAUCAGGAGGAACACCAAUGGCGAAGGCAGCACUCUGGGACGUGACUGACGCUGAGACGCGAAAGCGUGGGGAGCAAACAGG
rnacentral:rRNA from 1 species